rnacentral:rRNA from 1 species
GAUGAACGCUGGCGGCGUGCUUAACACAUGCAAGUCGAACGGUGAAGGCGGAGCUUGCUCUGCUGGAUCAGUGGCGAACGGGUGAGUAACACGUGAGCAAUCUGCCCCUGACUCUGGGAUAAGCGCUGGAAACGGCGUCUAAUACUGGAUACGAGCUGCGAAGGCAUCUUCAGCAGCUGGUAAGAAUUUCGGUCAGGGAUGAGCUCGCGGCCUAUCAGCUUGUUGGUGAGGUAAUGGCUCACCAAGGCGUCGACGGGUAGCCGGCCUGAGAGGGUGACCGGCCACACUGGGACUGAGACACGGCCCAGACUCCAACGGGAGGCAGCAGUGGGGAAUAUUGCACAAUGGGCGAAAGCCUGAUGCAGCAACGCCGCGUGAGGGACGACGGCCUUCGGGUUGUAAACCUCUUUUAGCAGGGAAGAAGCGAAAGUGACGGUACCUGCAGAAAAAGCGCCGGCUAACUACGUG